rnacentral:rRNA from 1 species
AAGGAUUCCCCUAGUAACUGCGAGUGAAGCGGGAAAAGCUCAAAUUUAAAAUCUGGCAGUCUUUGGCUGUCCGAAUUGUAUUCUGGAGAAGCGUCUUCCGCGCUGGACCGUGUACAAGUCUCUUGGAAUAGAGCGUCAUAGAGGGUGAGAAUCCCGUCUUUGACACGGACUACCAGUGCUUUGUGAUGCGCUCUCAAAGAGUCGAGUUGUUUGGGAAUGCAGCUCAAAAUGGGUGGUG